AAAAUGCAUGGGCUACAUGCCAAUUGGUUCUAUUAUUUAUGUUCAGUGCGGAUUAUUUAUGUUUUAGAGUGCUUGUGAUAAUGAUUCUUGAUUUUGUUUCAAUUAUCUCUAAGCUUGGUUUUAUGGGUGUGGUUUUGUUUUGCAUGCAUUAGUUUCAUCGAUGGUUUUAAGUUAAUGGGUGGGUGCUACUAAUGAGUUUGAUGUGGUUGUUCAAACCAAGGAUGUGCUGCAGCGUUUGGGAGUUAGUUUGUGGAGUGUGUUUUCUUUUAGGAUAAUGAUACAUUAAAACACUAAAUUUAACUACUUCUCUUACAACUAAACGUGACACUGAAACUUUAUUUAUUUUUAAUUGAUAUUUAUUUUCCACAUUGGCAAUUUCAUUUGGAAGAGGCAGAAAAGAAAGGGUUCGAACGAAUAGAGGGGUUCAAAGUUAUGUGCGUUUCAAAAACUCAAAACGUUGUUCAUCUUCCAUAACCUCUGAUUCAGUUGUUCAGUUGAUUAAGUUUGUAAACUCCUUUUGUUGGUGCUUUCCCCCUUCUUGGUCUUCGUGGAAACUUUCACCGUAGUUAAAUCAUUUAUUGAUGAGCAGUAGAAAAAUCGCAGGUGCAAACGAAACGCGUACCUCUAUUUUCGCGUUUCUUCUUCAUCUACUACCUCUUUGUGUAUCGUCUCCGUUGUCGCAUUCUCGUCGUGCCUAGCCUUGCCUUGCUCGGCCGUGACUACACCUGAUUUUCCUUGUAUUCUUCUUUCGUUUUCAAUAGAUAUUAUCAAAUUGGAAGGCUGCAAAGGCAUAUAAAGAUAGGGCUCAUUUAUAACAGUAGGGUUGAAGGCUUUAAUUCUGGAGGUCUGCGGGUUCAAUUUUAUUCUAUUAUGGGGUUUCUCCCAUUCCCCGAAUAGAGUCCAAUGCAUACUUGUAAAGAACCAGAGAAACCUAUCCAAGAAAUUACAAGAGGCUUAGUUGGUUCAGUCAUAUCGUCAAAGGUCUUUAUAACCUUAAUGGACUAAUACACAUCUCAGAGGUGUCAUGGGAUCUAGUUCAGGAUGUCAGAGAUAUCUUAAAAGUAGGCGAUGAAAUGAGGGCAAAAGUUGUUGGUAUUUCUGGGUGAGAUUUCCGAUAGUUAGGUUUUUUAAAGGAAAUUUUUAAGCAAAAUAAUCAAUUUGUUUUUCGAACCCAUGAAGUAUUCAGUUAUAUUUCCUCAUUGUAAAGA